rnacentral:rRNA from 1 species
UACGGGGGGGGCAAGCGUUGUUCGGAAUUACUGGGCGUAAAGGGUUCGUAGGUGGCUCGCUAAGUCAGACGUGAAAUCCCUCAGCUUAACUGGGGAACUGCGUCUGAGACUGGCAAGCUCGAGUGCAGGAGAGGAACGCGGAAUUCCAGGUGUAGCGGUGAAAUGCGUAGAUAUCUGGAGGAACACCGGUGGCGAAGGCGGCGUUCUGGACUGCAACUGACACUGAGACGCGAAAGCCAGGGGAGCAAACGGG